GAGUCAUUGGGACUCUAUUAAACCUAAAGGCGCAAUGAAAGUAAAGGUCCGCCUCGCGCGGACCGAGGGAGGAUGGGCCCGUCCACGGGCGGGCCCCGCACUCCCGGGGCGUCUCGUUCUCAUCGCGAGAAGAGGCGCACCCAGAGCGUACACGCUGGGACCCGAAAGAUGGUGAACUAUGCCUGGUCAGGACGAAGUCAGGGGAAACCCUGAUGGAGGUCCGUAGCGAUUCUGACGUGCAAAUCGAUCGUCGGAACUGGGUAUAGG
rnacentral:rRNA from 2 species